CAUUUCUACGUACUACAUCUCUUUAACUUCCCGCCUAAUGAUUUUCUUUCAUAUAUAAUUAUUAUCUUUCACCUGCAUGCAUGCAUGCUCGUGAAUUCUUUUAUACCUGCUUGAAGAGAGAAAGAAUGAAGAUAGUACGAAUUCCCAAUCACUCCUCUUUCUUUUAUUUGUUUAUUUCUUUUAUUUAUUUGAGGAAAUUCCAUGAUUUUGUUUUCCUGUCUUGGACAUUUUUUUUUCAAAAUUAAGGACAAUUGUAUUAAGGGUACAAAUGUAAUACAGUACAGUUAGUAAGUUGGUUAGAGUAGUUAGACUUUCUCUUAUAAAAACGGUUGUGUAACCUUCAUUCUAUCAAUCAAUACAAAAGCAUAUUUCUCUCUCUAAAUCUCUCUCUCUCUCAAACUCUCUGUAUUGAUCUUUCUUCUCUUCAUCUUUCUUCUUGAUUUUCUUUCAAUUCCCAAAUAUUACAAUGUAGUUAACAUGGUAUCAGAGCCACCAGGCUUACGCCAUUGAUUCUGGUGGUUCCGUAUUUUCUUUUAGAUUUCUUUUUCUAGUUUUAUUUUCUCUUCAGAUUUUCUUGAAUUUUUUCGUCUAAGUUCUUUGGUGUUUCCUUCUUCUCUCUGAUCCAUGAAUCGGAGAAGGAAGCAGAAUCAAGUUCUUACUCAGUUUUUUUGUGGAUGCGAAUCGACUGAAAAACGUCGUCACUGACCUCGCCGAUUUCAACUGGGUCCGGAUGACAGUUGGGUUUGCGGAUCUGGGUUGCCGAUUUCAAUGCCGUGAUAAUCUUUUCCAGUUGCAGCGGCAAUACCGAUCAGAGCCGUACUCUCGCCGAGAUGCGAGUCCUCCUCUCUGAUCCUCAAGAUCUGGCUGUGCAGCACGCACCCCGUCUUCUUCCGACCGAAGCAUUGCAUGGACUCGAUAGCUGGGGCCGCCAUGGUGUUGCUCUCUAGGGUUUGGGGUCUUUUUCAGCCAUUUCUGAAUUUCAAGAUUCUUCAUUUCAAUAUCAAUGUUCGUGAUAUUUGGGAUAUUUGGAUUCAAGAAUAUUGGUUAUUGCUGGAUUGUGCAAUUUGUAUGAUGGUGUCCAGUUCUAUCUCUGCUUCAUUGGAAUUCUGCUCUGUUUCUCUUGUUGGGUUUGAUGUUUCUGCAAAUCUUGAUAUGUUUGGAGAAAUGGGUAUGGAUUCUUGGGUUUGAUUGCUACUAAUAUCUUUAGGGUGUUCAUUGUCGAAUUACUCAGGAAGUUUGCAGUAUCUAAUUAUUGUCUCUCUGCUUCACUGAUUUUCUGCAAUUCUGUUGAGGAGUUUGUGCAGUAAUUUUCUCUUAUCUCAGCCUAUAAUGUCGAGUCUAACCAACUCAAUUGUUAGCAUGAAUCUACAGUAAGUCCGAUUAUACGAUAAAGUUUGAAGAAGUUGAUAACGGUAAAUCCCACGAAGGGUAAUUCCGUGAUGUGAAUAGGUAAAAAUCCCACGAAGGGUAGAAGAAGUUGUUAAUGGUAAAUCCCACGAAGGGUAAUUCCAUGUUAUGAAUAAGUAGUGUUGUGAAUUGGUAAAUCCACAAAGGGCGAUCCCGUGGACAUUAGUGUAGUGUAGUUUAGUAUUGGCAGAAAGCCAUUAGAAAUGGACAUGAAGUCAUUAGUACUUGAAGAUUGUUGGCACGAAGCCAUUAGAAGUUGAAAUUUGUUGGCACGAAGCUGUUAGUAAGUAGUUUUGAUUGUGGGCAAGAAGCCAUUGUUAAAAGAAGUUGUUGACAGUAAAUCCCACGAAGGGUAAUUCUGUAAGAAAUUAUUAUAAUCGGCCUGAGGAUGUGUUACAAUUUUAUUCUAUUUGGUUUGCAAUAGCUACAGAGGUGUCGACAUCAGUUUGUGGUGCUGAAAUUCUUUGGAAAUAACCAAUAUGCAAUUGCGCAGUUUAGUGAUGCCAGUCAAUGCUGGAGAAGUUUGAGUCAAUAGCAAAGCGAUGCUAAACAAUGAUGGAAAGGUUUGAGGCAAAAGCAAUGUGAUGUCAAAAGAUUCAAGUUCGCAGAGAGGGUUGUUGCUUUGGAAGUGGCUGUGGCUGGCGGGACCAAGGUUUUCGAUAAGGAAUUUGGUGUGUCAACAGAGUUGCUCAUGAGACUUUGUUGUGGGAUUGCAAGAUUGCAGAUGGUUCAACAUUGUGUUCAGUGAUUGUAGAUGUUUUUCCAAUCUCAAACUGGGUUAACCCAGUUGAGAUUGAGGGGGAGUAUUAAGGGUACAAAUGUAAUACAGUACAGUUAGUAAGUUGGUUAGAGUAGUUAGACUUUCUCUUAUAAAACGGUUGUGUAACCUUCAUUCUAUCAAUCAAUACAAAAGCAUAUUUCUCUCUCUAAAUCUCUCUCUCUCUCUCUCAAACUCUCUGUAUUGAUCUUUCUUCUCUUCAUCUUUCUUCUUGAUUUUCUUUCAAUUCCCAAAUAUUACAAUGUAGUUAACAAAUUGGACAGUUUUUUCUGAGUCUUGUAGAAGAGUAAAAAAGAAGUUGGAAAAGAAUAGAGUUGUAAUUGCUGUCUUUGUCAUCUACAAUUAUAAAGUGGAAGAUAAAGUAAGAGAAAUACAAUUUUUUUAAAGUGCUAUUCACACAUCAAUUUUUAAUUCUUACAUCCUUUUAUUAAUUUUUUUUUGUCAAAUUUUUUUUUAAUUCAUUCAAUUUAAAGGUUAAAAAUUAAGAAGAGUGAAAAGUAAAAAUAGGCGUGUAACUAGCGCUAUCCUAUUUUUUAACACUCAGUUGGACAACCAAAAUCUUGGACAUUUUUAUUCGUUGUUCAUAAAUUAUUUUAUUUUCUAUUUCUGUUUUAAUUUUUAACCAUCCGAUAAUCUAAUUUGACUUCUUGUUUUCUCAUUCUUCGCGGGCCACGCAUUCAACUGAGCUUUUUGUGCCGUAGUGCCAAAAAAAUAGUGAAUCUGCGCGUAUACAUAUUAGGACAAAAAAAGAAGUCAUGUUCUCACAGAAAAGGUAGACGAGUUUGAAUAACAAAUGUGAACUGUG
rnacentral:lncRNA from 1 species